GAUUUCUCUUUUUUAGAA
rnacentral:tRNA from 1 species